GACAGAGGAUGCAAGCGUUAUCCGGAAUGAUUGGGCGUAAAGCGUCUGUAGGUGGCUUUUUAAGUCCGCCGUCAAAUCCUAGGGCUCAACCCUGGACAGGCGGUGGAAACUACCAAGCUAGAGUACAGUAGGGGCAGAGGGAAUUUCCGGUGGAGCGGUGAAAUGCAUUGAGAUCGGAAAGAACACCAAUGGCGAAAGGCACUCUGCUGGGCCAACACUGACACUGGAGAGACGAAAGCUAGGGGAGCAAAUGGG
rnacentral:rRNA from 1 species